GGGACACUGGUCCCCUUCAAUGGCUUAACAAGAGAGGCCAGAACCGCGUUGGCACCUCAGCAAGGCGGGAGAGGCCUCCCACAGAGUGCUGGGGUCAGAGACGGACUUGGAUCCUCGGCCAUAGGGAGACCUGGGACAUACAAGGAAUGCCGGGCCAGGAGGUCCAGAGCUGCGGGCUGGAGAGGACCCUGCUGGUGAGGCAGUGGGUUGGAAGCAGUCUCUGAGAGGUGGGGGCUGGCCAGGGACCCACGGAGUGGCUGGCCUCUCCCAGGAAGGGGCUACGUGCAGAAUAGCGUGCCCGGCUCGCAUCUCUUACAAGAUGUCCCGGGCAUGGAAGUGCCCAUGGGGGUGAGACUAAACUUUGCCCUAUAUUCAUUUUUUUUCCUUCUGACUCGGAAUACAUGGUGCAAAAAGCAUGCUCUGUGUCAGCAGCCAAGGCGAGUCAUGUGGGACGUGCGAGCCUCAUCCAUCACAUUCUGUGUUUGGAUCCACUGUUCCGUCUAAGGCUUGAAAUGACAGAGCCGCCACCAGAUGUGAAAUCUGCCUUCGCUCUGUUUGCUGUUUCAUUUCAUCCUUGAUUUCCUGUCACUUUUCGGGGUAUUGAACACAUUAUUGAAAGGCUGACUUGACGUCUCCGGCCCUCCUUCAACUCUCUUCGAUUUUUCCUGCCAAAUAUUUUAACAGAGUUACUGCAACUGAAAACAGGGUGUAAAAAGGUUUGCGUUCGUUUAUUGGGGGAAAAAAAUCAGUAAAAUCUUACUGGCAUGUCUGUGGAACUGUUUGAGUCAGAAAUGAUGGACUUUCUAUCCAGACAGUUUGGCUUUUGGAGCCCUGAAUGAUGAAGAUAAUCUGGGGCCUGGGAUGCAGGGGGGCUUGGCAUGGUUCCCACACUGUCCAGCCUGGACCAUAGCCUGGAAGGUGUCACCGAUGCCAUUCCACCUUGGAGACAACAGCCACCAGCCUCAACAGAGUCAGAUGGAGGAUGCUUGCGGGGAGAAAGGGAGAUACUCUGUGUGUGGGGGGAAAUAAAGAAAAAAAAGGAAACAAUGGAUCCCAUCCUACUUUGAUGCCAGAAAGGGCAGCCCUUUUUCUCUGUGACUUGUGUAAAACUAGAUCAAAAUGUAUGGGAUAAUUUCUCUGCCAUGCAUGAAAGAAUCAUCAUCCAAAGCAUCAUAAUUCCUCCUUGUCUGACUUUGUGCUGUUUCUAUGCCUGUGGAGCAAAAAUGAGAUGAGGCCGAAAUAAAAGAACAUAUUAGUGAGAGUUCCAAAAGGAAGCUCUUGGCUUCUGCUUAAGUAGGAGGGACAUGAGUUAUUCAGACCAGCAAAACAGCAGAAUCCACGUGACUCCAGAGAGUAAGAGAGACACCUUCUCGCCUGCUCAUCUGUGGACCGGUCCAGAUGCCAUGGCGUGAAGCAGGUCCGAGUCAGCUGAGCCAGGAGUAAGAACAAACUCCAGUGGCCUUGCAGUCAGGGGAUCACCAGCAUCCAAGCAUCAGCUGAGGCUGGAAUAUGGAUCUACCUGUUUCCCGCAGGCACAGCUUCUGCCAGCCUGGACUGCUCCAAUCUGCCUCAGGAGAAGAAAUACCUGGAGUGUCUGUUACACAUCCACAAGCCAGGCCCUGCCCUUGAUGUCCCCUCCUGAACCUCCAAGUAUAGCAGAGCGUGAGAAACAGGGGUCUGAACUGUCCAGGUCCACAUAGAUUGUUUCCAACAAUAAAAGAUGCAGCACUACAGAAUCUGUGGUGUGGAAUCUGCAGAAGUGAAACCACGGACACAGAGGCACUAUUCUCUGAGCGAUCCAGACUCUCCCUUGCCGAUGCGUAUUCCUGACGAGCAGCAGGCCAGCCCAGGCUUUGGGCCUCACUCAUCCCACCCCCAUCAUCUCAGGCUGUUGAUAAUUGCAUUGUCUUUCAGGGACCAAGGCCACAGUGCUUUCAUCUGCUUCUGUGUAUAAGGCACAUCCAUCAAAAUGCAUAUUUGGGAUGUGCUUUGAGGCAUAUGAAAAGGAAUUUUAAAAUGCAAUAAUCCAUUUCCACAAGAAAAGAGUUUCGUUUAGAGCAUCUCUGCAGAUAAUGACAGAUUUCCUUCUUGAUCUCUUUUCGGGGCGAGCCUCGUUGGGAAAUCCAGGUGCUCCCUACCAAGAGGCAAGACAUCAGCUAAAGCCUGAGAAUGGAGCCCCUGACUUCUAUGAGGCAUUUAUUGAGUCAACAAGUAAAUAAUGACUGCACAUUUCUUCCUCACAUGCAGCAGUUUUAUGCCUUUAGUGGUCUUAUUCCUUGAACAGAUGUGUCUUUUCAAAGCUGUCUUCCUUUCCUGGGAACAGAAGAUUUCUUCUUAAUUGUAUGCUUGGAAGCUGCUUCAGAGGUGUUUCUGAACACACCACUGAGGUCGCUUCUCACUGGGAGCCAAGUGACAUGCGACCCACCCUAUCAUCAGGGAUGUGAACAGCCGGCUCCCCACAUCAAGCACCCAAUUAGCGAGUGUUCUUUGGCUGAAUGUACUCCGCAGCCCGUGCAGGCAGCAUCUGGGCUUUGAUUUCGGAAGCCUUAGAAAUACCUGGGAGUUAUUUGAACGCAGCGGUCUGGGAGCUACAGAAGAUAAACAAGAAGCUUUUCACAGCCAGUCAGCAAACCGUUGGAUUUGACAGCCGACACCGAAGUUUGUAUCAAAUUCCCUCCACGUUAGUGUUUUGAAUAACCAAGCACUUUAACCAGGUUUAUGCUCGGAACUUCCCUUUAUCCAUUAAAAAGGAGCCUUCGCAAAGGAUCAAUAUCUAAAGCCCAUUGGGCAUUUGCUAUUCCUUUUAUGAUUUCCUCAAUGAUGGGUAUUAACAAAGAAAACCUCACUCUGGAAGGCGCCAAUGGAAGCUGGCAACCAAAAGGAUACCGCUUUUUUUCUUAUAAGUAAUAUACUAAGCUCUUGGGUCACCU
rnacentral:lncRNA from 1 species